rnacentral:lncRNA from 1 species
GUAGGUUGACUGUCGGGACAAGCCCAGGGAUGGCAUUGUUUCUAUUUGCUGAUAAAUGACUCUGGGGCUGUGAAGACUCAGACCCAAGGAGUGACUCAGAAAGUCAGGGGCCCAUGUCAUUCUGCUCUGGGUUCAGACGUGCACUGCAGCAGCACCGGGACUUGACAGCCCUACGGCUCGAUCAGCUUUCUGUUUUCAUUGCCUUACGAUGCCAUGAGUGGAACUAUUGUCAAAUCAGAGUUCACUCCCCAGCUUUUCAGUCUUUCCCCUAAUUCUUGCUCUAUCAGAGGUCGAGGACAACAGUAUAAUGAUUCAUAGGUUCUACUUCCUGGCAAGUAAUCAUUUUCCCACGGGCCCUUGUGAAUUGAUGAAUAUGAAGACACUAAGAAAGCAGAAAUAGAACUGAGAAGAAUGAAAUAACUGUCUCUACCUUUCUCGAAUUGUCUAAUAUGGAAAGAAUGAAAGACAGCUAAUAAGCAACUCUCUGCAAGAAGACAUAUGGCUUAGGUUCUGCUGAGCUAUUGAAUCUACUUGGAGAGAGUCAAACACAGAAUCCCUUUGAAUUUAAUGGCCAUUCCAGGUGAUUUGAACAGCCAAAUAAGAAACAGGUCCUCUUCAAUGUACAAUCUGCCAAGUAUGAAGUCUGAAUGACCAUCAUUAUUAUGUAUUUAAUGUGCAUAGAAAAUCUAUCUGCAACCUUCCAGAGUGUACCAGAAGUUUGGAAUGUACAUUAUUAUUGGCUCCAUCUCAAACCACUCAUAAAUCAAAGAAAAUAGCAGUUCCAGAGGAAUCAUCAUAGAGGCUUCUAGGCCCCCAUGCUGUGUGAACCUGGUGAGAAAGGGAAGUCUGCUCUCACUGGACACUGGAACUGUUUGUCUCUGUCUCUGCUGUACUUUCCCUGCCUCUACCUCACUUAGUAAAGAAAUCAUCUUUGCUUGAUAACUAAAACAACCAAUAAGGCUGAGAAAGGGGAAAACCCACAUCUGGAUUUAAAUACAAGGUAUUGGGCCAGCUGCUGGGGAUUAAACUUUGAACAAAACAGAUAGAAUCUAUGUCCUCAUGGGAGUGGCUAAUGGGAGAGUCGGAACAAAAAAAUAGCCAAGGAUAAUCCAGCAAAUGAUUUGGUGAAUGCUAUCAAAGAGAGAAAUACACAUGCUCUGGGAACACCAAGAAUAAACGAGAGAAAGGGACAUUAAUAUAUAUUGAAUAUCUGCUGUGUCAGGCACCUUACAUAUAUUGAUUGCUUCUUCACUUCUUUUAAUCUUUACUACACCACAUGAGGCUGUCAUAGAGAUUCUGAGAACAAAUUGUCUAAUUGAGAAACUGCUGAGCAUUGGAAAUGAGCUUGCCAGGGGAACAGAGGGAUACCUGAAUAGCGAAUGCAAGGCAGUUCAAAACUCAAACUCAGGCCACUGGAUUUGCUGCCCACUGCUCCUUGUAUGAUCGCCCUUGGGCACCACAUCCAUGUAGAGUCUUCUUCUAAGAGGCAAGGAAGGUCAAAGCUGAAACCACACAUCCCAGAUUAUGAUUGAGGUGUUUUUAUAGAACUUGUUUAUUUACAGCGUCUAUACUAAAACUUAUUUUUGGAAGCUGUAGUCAAAUAAUGUUUCUUAAGUGCCUUCACAGGAUAGACCAGCAAUAGAUGCUGUGGAAGAAGUGCAUGAUGUAGCUCCUGACCUCAAGACACUUUUCCACUGGAUACGGAUACAGGGCAUAUCUCCAGGGAGAUCAUUCAGGAUAAUGCCCAGUCAUCAGCAGGCAGUGCCAUAUGAAUGCAUAGCAAGUUAUGCUCCAGGAAGCAGAGGAAGCAGAGCACAUGAGGAAUGGGCUUCUAUGUGUAGCUGGAGUCUCACCUGGGUUUUGAAUUCAUAAAUAGUGUUCAAGGAGGAAGCAGGGAGGGUAUAGCUCUUGAUAGGAAGUGAUGGGAUGGCGAUACGAAUAUAUGUUCCUUGUUUGAAAUACCACAUGAAGGGCAUGUGGCUGUGAAACCAACUUUGCAAAGAUGAUGACAGUGAGAGAAAUCUAGCAUGGCUGACUCCAUCUUGCUUCUAGCCUCGCAGGCUGGCUACCCUCACUCACUCUUGGGCAUAGGCCCAGCUAACCAUGGGAGUCAUUUGAUUUAUAGAUUAACUUUGAAACAAGAAUGAUAAGAGUCUCUCCCUAAAACUGACCCCUUCCUUGUUCAGGAGCUGAAACUGCCUUUGUAAGACUAAUGAAAGGCCACAAGAUUAGGAUUAUGGGAGAGGCCUGGAUUCUGCUAAAAUGUAGGUGUAGUAAAUGAUAAACAGACAUUGAUCUCCAGUUGGCUUUUCUAUAAUCCCUUCCUGCUCCGGGGUCAGGUGGCCAGAGGCACAAGAUUUGUGGCUUCCGCAAAUUCUCCUGUAGGUAACAUCACUAUUGUAGAAUUUGAGAUUGGUCUUUUGAGAUGUUUUUCAGGCUUUUGCAUUCUGGCAACUCACUGACCCCAUGACUCAUGACUCAACCUGUUCUGUGGCCCCCACACAGAGGCUAGUUCAGUGCACAAGAACCAUUUUCCACACCCCUAUGUUGUCAUUCCCAACCAAUCAGCAACACCCACCCCUGAGCUCCCUGCCUGCCCAAUUAUCCAUAAAACUCUAGCCUCUGAGUUCUUGGGAUGGCUGAUUUGAGCAAUUAUUCCCAUCCUUCCAUUCAACUAGCCCUGCCAUUAUUAAACUCUUUCUCUACUGCAAUACAUCUGUCUCAGUGAACUGAUUUUAUCUGUGCAGUGGGCAACAAUUAGCCAUUGGGUGAUUAUAGCUGGAAAAGUGCCUACCUUGUGGCAGUUAAACAUGAGGUUUGGAGGGAGACUACCUACAUCUAACCACCACUGACCACCAUUGUAGUUGAGGUUCUGGUCAACUUAUUAACCCUUUGUGCGCACAUGUGCAUGCGUGCACACACACAGACACACACAGACACAUUUUCUCAUGUGUGAAAUGGGGACCAUAAUGUUGGAUCUCCCAGUGUUGCAGGAAGGACUCAUUGUAACAGAACAUGAAAAUAUUUAAUGUGCUGCCUAAUGUAUAACAGACACUGAAUAAAAUAACCACUGUUUUCAUUAGUAAUGGUCUUAGAUACCUAGCUAAGGCAAAAAUUUACUCGAUUUCCUGUCCCUCAUCUUUCAAACUUACUUGGGUUUGUAACCAUCCUUGCUUCCUUCCCCUCUUUUCAAAGUGUUAUUUCCUUUCAAAGUUAAUCCUUUCACUUGAUUCUCAUUCCAUCACGUAUUGUCUUCCUUC